rnacentral:tRNA from 1 species
CAGGGCAUACAAGAGGAUUUCUAAUCCUAAAUACCCCCUAGGGGGUGCCUUUU